UACGGAGGGUGCGAGCGUUGUCCGGAAUCACUGGGCGUAAAGGGCGCGUAGGCGGCCUGAUAAGUAGGGGGUGAAAUCCUGCGGCUUAACCGCAGGGCUGCCUUCUAAACUGUCAGGCUCGAGCACAGUAGAGGCAGGUGGAAUUCCCGGUGUAGCGGUGGAAUGCGUAGAGAUCGGGAAGAACACCGGUGGCGAAGGCGGCCUGCUGGGCAGUUUUGCUGACACUGAGGCGCGACAGCGUGGGGAGCAAACAGG
rnacentral:rRNA from 1 species